rnacentral:rRNA from 1 species
CCCUGGUAGUCCACGCCGUAAACGAUGAGUGCUAAGUGUUGGAGGGUUUCCGCCCUUCAGUGCUGCAGCUAACGCAUUAAGCACUCCGCCUGGGGAGUACGACCGCAAGGUUGAAACUCAAAGGAAUUGACGGGGGCCCGCACAAGCGGUGGAGCAUGUGGUUUAAUUCGAAGCAACGCGAAGAACCUUACCAGGUCUUGACAUCCUUUGACCACUCUAGAGAUAGAGCUUCCCCUUCGGGGGCAAAGUGACAGGUGGUGCAUGGUUGUCGUCAGCUCGUGUCGUGAGAUGUUGGGUUAAGUCCCGCAACGAGCGCAACCCUUAUUGUUAGUUGCCAUCAUUCAGUUGGGCACUCUAGCAAGACUGCCGGUGACAAACCGGAGGAAGGUGGGGAUGACGUCAAAUCAUCAUGCCCCUUAUGACCUGGGCUACACACGUGCUACAAUGGGAAGUACAACGAGUUGCGAAGUCGCGAGGCUAAGCUAAUCUCUUAAAGCUUCUCUCAGUUCGGAUUGCAGGCUGCAACUCGCCUGCAUGAAGCCGGAAUCGCUAGUAAUCGCGGAUCAGCACGCCGCGGUGAAUACGUUCCCGGGCCUUGUACACACCGCCCGUCACACCACGAGAGUUUGUAACACCCGAAGUCGGUGAGGUAACCUUUU